UACGAAGGGGGGCUAGCGUUGCUCGGAAUCACUGGGCGUAAAGCGCACGUAGGCGGAUUGCUAAGUCAGGGGUGAAAUCCUGGAGCUCAACUCCAGAACUGCCUUUGAUACUGGCGAUCUCGAGUCCGGGAGAGGUGAGUGGAACUGCGAGUGUAGAGGUGAAAUUCGUAGAUAUUCGCAAGAACACCAGUGGCGAAGGCGGCUCACUGGCCCGGUACUGACGCUGAGGUGCGAAAGCGUGGGGAGCAAACAGGGA
rnacentral:rRNA from 1 species